UGAAAGACAGUGUGGCAACUUGCCCAACCGAAUUGAUGUCAAAACUUCAACAUUUAACCUUGUAUAUUAGGUUAAAGCUUUCAACAAUUCAGAGUGCGCACAAUUAAAUGUAUUUUACACCAUUUAUUUUACUGUUGUUCACAACUGACAAUGAUGCAUCCUACACUGCUAGCCUGCAACUGAAAUAUUAACCUAAUGAUGCCAAAUCUUCUGCACCUUGAUGUGCAAGUUUAUGCUUAAAAGACUACGAACACAUGCCCAAAACCACCAAUAACAGAGCAGCAGGCACAAAUUUGUCGGUAAAAGCAAAAUGGGAUCGAUCAGUCAAGGAUACAGCAAUACCAAAGCCAUUGAAUAACACCAAAUGGAUGGAAAGUUGAUCUCUACUCCAGGAUGCCGCUCUCCACUGUAUGAAAAAUUUCCAGACAAGCCAAGGCGUAAAAGUUGACACUUUUUUCUAUGGCCACAAACAUGAAGUUUCCGAAUUCAUAACGAUAAAGUACAAUGAAAAGUAACCCCCAGAUCCUCCCAGGAGGGUAAUGACUUACAAGGCCAGAAAGCAUCAACACCAUCGCAAACGGACUACUACUCUCUUCUUGGGUCCCAUACUUUCACUAGACUAGCACCGCCACAGACACAGUUGGCCCUCAGUCCAAGCCUACCUUUGCUUUCUUGUUCUGAAUGAUAUCAGCAAUCCAUGCAAUGCAGGGACUAUUAAUAAUUAGAAGGAACUGAUUACUUAAAACACUAGGUGCUUGAGCAAAUUAGAAUUAGCAUAUGUUCUUUCCACCGUGUGUCAGAUUGUGUAAUAAGAAUCGGAAAUUUUUAACGAAUAAACACAGCAAAUUGACCUUCCUUUUAGCUAAAGGAAAUUAAUAAAAACAUCAACUUGAGUAUCUAAAAUGCUACAUCACAGAAUAUAGGUCAUACAUCCUUAUGUAGUUAUGAGAGUUCUUCCUUUGGCAGCCUAAUGGCCAACAUUCCAUAUCAUGAAUGCUGAAAAGUUCAAUUAUUACAAUUCACUAAUAUGUUCAUGUUCAAGAACAUGUACAUAAGAGGAGAGCAAAGAGAUAUUGCAGUGUUGAUUACAGAACUCUUUGAUAUUCAUUUACCAUGUUACAUUUGCAGUCUUCAUUCCAUCAUCAACCAUCAUAGUGUUUUAGUUUGUGCUAACAGAUGAUUAAACAUAGAUCAUGACAAUUUUGUAGGAUAACCAUCAACCAAUAAAACAAACAAAGAUCCAAUAUCAUUUUGAUUUCAAGCAAACAAGCUAUCAACUGAAAUAAACCAAGAAUCUAAUGCAACUGCCUGCAAACAAAAAUAUCAAGUCCAUGUUAGACAUGCAUCAGAAUACUAGCAAAAAAGAGAGAAGAGACAGAAGACAAGAAUUUUUUUGGAUUAAUCAUUUCAAUGAUCCAACUAGUGCUAAAAUAAGAGAUAAUCAGAUAACUAUAACUUUUUCAUUAAUAGUCAACCGAAACUGACAAAUUAGUAAUCUCAUUGAGUGACUAAAACAAAGUUAAUUUUCCAAAGUAAGAAUUUCGGGGAAGAAAAAGAAAACCAGAAAUCACCUCCUUUUCAGAUGCUACCGACAUAACCCCAACUCGAUCUUAAAAAUGCAUUCUUGUAGCUUUGCGGCAUUGCAUUUCCAAUUCAUCCUCAUCAACACAACAUAACAAUCAACGAAAAACCGAAAGGCCCAUAAGAAAGCACCAAUCCAACUGUUAGCAACCAAUUUUCUCAUCAUUUUGCAUGUAAAACCUCAAGUUAAAUGUCCACCAGAGCAGCAUUUAAACACCAAACCAAAAAGAAAAGGCCAAAACCCAUUACAAACAAACUCCAGAUCACCAAAGCAACACCUAAAAACACUCAAAUCCGAGUAUAACUUGUGGGCCUCAAAGGCUGACUCCCAACAACCGAAAGCAACCCACCUUCAGCCGCGCUCUCCUCGUCAAGAAACAAAUCCUCAGUUUUUCUAAACGCAGCAUGAACACCAACAACCACAACCCCAACAAUCAAAGCCACCAACACAUUCAAUCCGACAUGGGUAAACGCCAACGCCACAACAGUAACCAAUCCAAGAAUAGGCAACACAACUCUAUCAUCAAAAGUUAUGCUAAACAAGACAACAGGACCCUGAAGGGAGAAGUAAAGGAAAAACCGAGUGACGAAUAUUAUUAUGAAGACAAUCAUGGAGACGGGGUGCCACAGAAGGCUUAGAAACAGAAUAAACAGGAACACCAUGGCAUAAUUUACCCCAAAGUAGUUGAGAUUGUACUUGAUCCGGAAGAUGGCUUUCCCGCAGCCAUACGGGCGGGAGAAGGAAGAACGGUUGAAAAGCUCGGCCCAUGGACGUCGAGUGGCCAUUACAGUUUGGGUUGCUGUCGUGGUGCGCGAGAUAAAAGUGACGGAAGUGGCGGUUGUUGAUGUGGAUUGUUUGGUGGUCGUGGUGGGGGGAAUGGUGCCAUAGCCGGUGGAUGAUUUCAGUGACGUAGAAGAAAUUCGUUAGUAUAAUACGAAAGAGAAACUGAGCAGACCAGGAUUUAAUUUUAGAGUUUCUUCUCUCAGUGAUGAUCCUUGUUCUCUUCUUGUCUUUCCGGCUGAAAAUGGAUGACAGGCGGU
rnacentral:misc_RNA from 1 species